GACGUGACAAUUAAUGAAGGUCAUGUCCUUUCUAUCCAGUUGAAAAUCACCGUUCCGUAUUUCCUAGAUCAUAAGGUGAAAUGGCGUCCACUAUGAAGCUACUAGUGAAGUAUGUCGUACUUGUUUCCUUUCUGCUGGUAAUCUAUUUCAGGAUUAUAGACGCGGAAUCGGAGCUUCAGUGCACCAAAGAAUCUGACAGAGGAAAUAUCUGUAAGAAGCAGUGCGCAGAAGCGGAAGAAUGUCGCUGCAUCACGCCUCCAUACACCGCGUGCUUCACAGGCCCCUGUUUGUAUGCAACGUGCGUGGCAAAGCCGGAGUGAUGUUCACGUGGCCUACUUCAUUUUGUAAACGUUGGUACCACUGGAGCACUAUUUUAGCGUAGUAUUGAUACAUUCUGAAAGAGACUUUGUCUGAUAGACUAUUUCUUUCAUAGGUCAUUCGCUGUAAAAAAAAAUAAUUCUUGUAAACUUUGCACGACUCAGAUAUUAAUUAUUACUGAGGAGUAAAAACCACUGAACUCCACAUUAA